rnacentral:tRNA from 8 species
GGGCGUGUGGCUCAGUUGGUAGAGCGUUCGCUUAGCAUGCGAAAGGUCCUGGGUUCGAUUCCCAGCUCGUCCA